CAAAUGACUCUCGGCAAUGGAUAUCUCGGCUCUUGCAUCGAUGAAGAACGUAGUGAAAUGCGAUACUUGGUGUGAAUUGCAGAAUCUCGUGAACCAUUGAGUCUUUGAACGCAAGUUGUGCCUGAGGCCUUGUGGCCGAGGGCACGCCUGCUUGGGCGUCAUGG
rnacentral:rRNA from 1 species